rnacentral:rRNA from 1 species
AAGUUUCUAAGUUUAGCUAAUGUUGCCCGUACCGUAAACCGACACAGGUGGGUGGGAUGAGUAUUCUAAGGCGCGUGGAAGAACUCUCUUUAAGGAACUCUGCAAAAUAGCACCGUAUCUUCGGUAUAAGGUGUGGUUAGCUUUGUAUUAGGAUUUACUCCGAAAGCAAGGAAACUUACAACAAAGAGUCCCUCCCGACUGUUUACCAAAAACACAGCACUCUGCUAACUCGUAAGAGGAUGUAUAGGGUGUGACGCCUGCCCGGUGCUCGAAGGUUAAUUGAUGGGGUUAGCAUUAGCGAAGCUCUUGAUCGAAGCCCGAGUAAACGGCGGCCGUAACUAUAACGGUCCUAAGGUAGCGAAAUUCCUUGUCGGUUAAAUACCGACCUGCAUGAAUGGCGUAACGAGAUGGGAGCUGUCUCAAAGAGGGAUCCAGUGAAAUUGUAGUGGAGGUGAAAAUUCCUCCUACCCGCGGCAAGACGGAAAGACCCCGUGGACCUUUACUACAGCUUGACACUGCUACUUGGAUAAGAAUGUGCAGGAUAGGUGGGAGGCUUUGAGUAUAUGACGCCAGUUGUAUAUGAGCCAUUGUUGAGAUACCACUCUUUCUUAUUUGGGUAGCUAACCAGCUUGAGUUAUCCUCAAGUGGGACAAUGUCUGGUGGGUAGUUUGACUGGGGCGGUCGCCUCCCAAAUAAUAACGGAGGCUUACAAAGGUUGGCUCAGAACGGUUGGAAAUCGUUCGUAGAGUAUAAAGGUAUAAGCCAGCUUAACUGCAAGACAUACAAGUCAAGCAGAGACGAAAGUCGGUCUUAGUGAUCCGGUGGUUCUGUGUGGAAGGGCCAUCGCUCAAAGGAUAAAAGGUACCCCGGGGAUAACAGGCUGAUCUCCCCCAAGAGCUCACAUCGACGGGGAGGUUUGGCACCUCGAUGUCGGCUCAUCGCAUCCUGGGGCUGGAGCAGGUCCCAAGGGUAUGGCUGUUCGCCAUUUAAAGCGGUACGCGAGCUGGGUUCAGAACGUCGUGAGACAGUUCGGUCCCUAUCUGCCGUGGGCGUAAGAAGAUUGAAGAGAUUUGACCCUAGUACGAGAGGACCGGGUUGAACAAACCACUGGUGUAGCUGUUGUUCUGCCAAGAGCAUCGCAGCGUAGCUAAGUUUGGAAAGGAUAAACGCUGAAAGCAUCUAAGCGUGAAGCCAACUCUAAGAUGAAUCUUCUCUAAGCUCUCUAGAAGACUACUAGUUUGAUAGGCUGGGUGUGUAAUGGAUGAAAGUCCUUUAGCUGACCAGUACUAAUAGAGCGUUUGGCUUAUCUUU